rnacentral:rRNA from 1 species
GAUGAACGCUGGCGGCGUGCCUAAUACAUGCAAGUCGAGCGAACGGACGAGAAGCUUGCUUCUCUGAUGUUAGCGGCGGACGGGUGAGUAACACGUGGAUAACCUACCUAUAAGACUGGGAUAACUUCGGGAAACCGGAGCUAAUACCGGAUAAUAUUUUGAACCGCAUGGUUCAAAAGUAAAAGACGGUCUUGCUGUCACUUAUAGAUGGAUCCGCGCUGCAUUAGCUAGUUGGUAAGGUAACGGCUUACCAAGGCAACGAUGCAUAGCCGACCUGAGAGGGUGAUCGGCCACACUGGAACUGAGACACGGUCCAGACUCCUACGGGAGGCAGCAGUAGGGAAUCUUCCGCAAUGGGCGAAAGCCUGACGGAGCAACGCCGCGUGAGUGAUGAAGGUCUUCGGAUCGUAAAACUCUGUUAUUANGGAAGAACAUAUGUGUAAGUAACUGUGCGCAUCUUGACGGUACCUAAUCAGAAAGCCACGGCUAACUACGUGCCAGCAGCCGCGGUAAUACGUAGGUGGGCAGCGUUAUCCGGAAUUAUUGGGCGUAAAGCGCGCGUAGGCGGUUUUUUAAGUCUGAUGUGAAAGCCCACGGCUCAACCGUGGAGGGUCAUUGGAAACUGGAAAACUUGAGUGCAGAAGAGGAAAGUGGAAUUCCAUAUGUAGCGGUGAAAUGCGCAGAGAUAUGGAGGAACACCAGUGGCGAAGGCGACUUUCUGGUCUGUAACUGACGCUGAUGUGCGAAAGCGUGGGGAUCAAACAGGAUUAGAUACCCUGGUAGUCCACGCCGUAAACGAUGAGUGCUAAGUGUUAGGGGGUUUCCGCCCCUUAGUGCUGCAGCUAACGCAUUAAGCACUCCGCCUGGGGAGUACGACCGCAAGGUUGAAACUCAAAGGAAUUGACGGGGACCCGCACAAGCGGUGGAGCAUGUGGUUUAAUUCGAAGCAACGCGAAGAACCUUACCAAAUCUUGACAUCCUUUGACAACUCUAGAGAUAGAGCCUUCCCCUUCGGGGGGCAAAGUGACAGGUGGUGCAUGGUUGUCGUCAGCUCGUGUCGUGAGAUGUUGGGUUAAGUCCCGCAACGAGCGCAACCCUUAAGCUUAGUUGCCAUCAUUAAGUUGGGCACUCUAAGUUGACUGCCGGUGACAAACCGGAGGAAGGUGGGGAUGACGUCAAAUCAUCAUGCCCCUUAUGAUUUGGGCUACACACGUACUACAAUGGACAAUACAAAGGGCAGCGAAACCGCGAGGUCAAGCAAAUCCCAUAAAGUUGUUCUCAGUUCGGAUUGUAGUCUGCAACUCGACUACGUGAAGCUGGAAUCGCUAGUAAUCGUAGAUCAGCAUGCUACGGUGAAUACGUUCCCGGGUCU